AGGACGAACGCUGGCGGCGUGCCUAACACAUGCAAGUCGAGCGAAGCAUUUAAGGUAGCUUGCUACCAUUUAUGACUGAGCGGCGAACGGGUGAGUAACACGUGGGUGAUCUACCUGAAAGUCUGGGAUAACAGUUCGAAAGGGCUACUAAUACCGGAUGACAUUGGAGCUGUAGAGGCUUCAAUCAAAGCGUUACGGAGCGCUUUCAGAUGAGCCCGCGUCCCAUUAGUUAGUUGGUAGGGUAACGGCCUACCAAGGCGACGAUGGGUAGCCGGUCUGAGAGGAUGGUCGGCCACACUGGGACUGAGACACGGCCCAGACUCCUACGGGAGGCAGCAGUGGGGAAUUUUGCGCAAUGGGGGCAACCCUGACGCAGCGACGCCGCGUGAGCGAAGAAGGCCUUCGGGUUGUAAAGCUCUGUUGAGGGGGAAGAUAGUGACGGUACCCCUUAAGAAAGCCCCGGCUAACUACGUGCCAGCAGCCGCGGU
rnacentral:rRNA from 1 species